GUUAUGGAAUUGCUGCCAUUUUCUAAUCGACUGACAUUCGAUAACAUGCCCAAGUACUUCCAACACCUAUGGUGUAAAGUCAACUUUCAAGCAUUGGCCUCUGUUCCUCACAUCAGACAUCUCGGAGAUGCCAUUAUAAAUCGCUUGAGGUAUCCUAAUGAAGAGAACAUGGUUAGUGACAACUACCUUAGAGAGGUUACUGAUCUUAAGCCCAAACAAGGAGCUGGCAAGUAUGCUGUUCUUCAUCUUCGCUUUGACAAGGUAGGAAAACACCUUACCAAUGUUGAACUAGCUAUCCUGCUGUAUUUCCCUGUCUAAUAUUAGUACUUCCACUUUCGAGAAAAGAUCGGUUUUCCUCUGAUGCCUGUUAAAGGUAAUAUUACACUACGUAUUGAUGAACUUUUGGACUUGCUAUCUCUCUAGGAUAUGGCUGCUCAUUCAGCCUGUGAUUUUGGUGGCGGCGAGGCUGAAAACAAUUUAUUGAUGAAGAAUUAAGGAGCCAAGGAUGGUGUCCAUUGACCCCCAAAGAGGUUGGGUUGCUGCUGGCAGCUUUAGGAUUUGACGAUAGCACUCGCCUAUAUCUUGCCUCCCAUAAGUUCUUUGCUAAGAUUCUGUAUUUAUAAAACUAUAUCCCUUUCUUUAAGUGAAUACAUGAAGUAAAGCCGGUAUUUUUGUGUCCUGAAGCUUUUCUUUGUUCCUGUUCUUUUCUAGGUUUAUGGCGGGGAACGCCGGGUUUCGGCCUUGAGAAGUUUGUUUCCCCUGAUGGAAGACAAAAAGAGCCUUGCAUCUUCUGAGGAAAGAGCUCUUAUCAAAGGGAAGGCGUCCUUGUUGGCUGCAGUUGUACUUGCCUCUGUUCCAUGCAUCGUACAAUUGUUAUCACCAUUGCUAAUUUGAAUGUGAUUGGUUUCUGAAUUAAAUUGGGUCAGUUGCAUCUGUUCAACACAAUCAUGAUUCAUGAGGUAUGCCAAAAUUUUCCCAAACCUUCCAUUCAGUGCCACCAAAUAUAGCUCCUCCCCAGAGAUAGUUAAGGGAGCCCCUACUCUUCAUAAAUGAUUGAUGCCAUGAAAUAGUUUUAUCAUCAAAAUAUAUAGGCACCAUAUUUAUUCUAUGAGCUAUAGGAGUUUCAUCAUCAAUGGUAAAAGUCCCACCUUAUAUAGUCAAAUUCUAAAGUCAUUGCCAUUUGAAUGGAGGAAAAUUCAAUUUCAAUGUUCGAGCAGAGGGGAAUAAUAGGGUAGGUCUCAUAAUACCUUGUGAUUUGAGACCAAAUUGUAUAAUGUUCCGGUCCUGCUUUUAGUCGAUGUUGAUCCUCUAUGUUGGCUUUGCAAUUGGAAUCCAUUAAUAGCAGUCCUUAGCUCCCCCAUAAGCUGAAGACUAUUGGCUUCCCUUUGUUCCAUUUGUUCCUGCAUUUUGAGAAGCUCAGCCUGCUGACCAGCCAAAUCCUCUAACAACUCAGUAAGUUUGGAAUUUUGCCAUUGCGCCAUUUUCUCAUCGACCGACAUUCGAUAACAUGCCCAAGUACCUCCAACACCUACGGUGUAAAGUCAACUUUCAAGCAUUGGCCUUUGUUCCUCACAUCAGACAUCUCGAAGAUGCCAUUAUAAAUCGCUUGAGGUAUCCUAAUGAAGAGAACAUGGUUAGUGACAACUACCUUAGAGAGGUUUCUGAUCUUAAGCCCAAACAAGGAGCUGGCAAGUAUGCUGUUCUUCAUCUUCG
rnacentral:lncRNA from 1 species